CUCUUUACUGCUGAGCCAGCUGGGAAACCCCAAAUAACAAAGAGGCAUGGAUCUAGGUCAUGUGGGCUCAGUAGUUGUGAUGCUUGGACUUAGCUGCCCUGCAAUAUAUGAUGUCUUCCUGGACCAGGGAGCUAACCGUGUUCCCUGGGAAGUAGAUUCCUAACCACUGGACCUACAGCGAAGUCUCUCAUCGAAUGUUGUAUAAGCACCUGUGAGAUCCAUUGAGAGGAAGCUGAAACCAUAAAUUCUCCCAGACUGAAUUUUUUGUUCGUUUGUUUCGUUGGUUGUUUUAAAUUAUGGGGGUUCUUACAGUUAAUCAUUAUAUGUCUUUGUAUUCACCUUUUAAUUUGAUCUUUUCAGAGAUACAAAUAAAACUACAAGAAAGCUG